GGAGGGGUGCAAGCGUUAAUCGGAAUUACUGGGCGUAAAGCGCACGCAGGCGGUUUGUUAAGUCAGAUGUGAAAUCCCCGGGCUCAACCUGGGAACUGCAUCUGAUACUGGCAAGCUUGAGUCUCGUAGAGGGGGGUAGAAUUCCAGGUGUAGCGGUGAAAUGCGUAGAGAUCUGGAGGAAUACCGGUGGCGAAGGCGGCCCCCUGGACGAAGACUGACGCUCAGGUGCGAAAGCGUGGGGAGCAAACAGGAUUAGACACCCUGGUAGUCCACGCCGUAAACGAUGUCGACUUGGAGGUUGUGCCCUUGAGGCGUGGCUUCCGGAGCUAACGCGUUAAGUCGACCGCCUGGGGAGUACGGCCGCAAGGUUA
rnacentral:rRNA from 1 species